UUUUCAAAAUGCAUAUGAAUCUAUUAGAAGUUUACCACCUCUGUAACAAUUAGACGAGUAAAAUUUUCUUCUUUUUCUACAUAUAUUAACACAUAAUUGACUAGAACAAUCAAUCAACCUUCGAAUCUAUACAGUUGCCACAUUAUUUAAUAAACUUCUAUCAUAAUUUUGUCCAAGGGAGUUCUGUAAAAGCUGCAGUUGAACCAACAAAUUAGGGUAUUAAUUAGUCUAAUAUUUUUUGCAUCCCACAAGAUUCAUGUGAGUU
rnacentral:lncRNA from 1 species